rnacentral:lncRNA from 1 species
CUAUGGACGGUCGACUUUUUCCUGGAGUUGGAGUUGUGGAACUCUAACUGGCCAAGAAAAUUAACCAAUUUACACCACUCGUUCAGCACAAGAAAUUGCGCGGAAAGCAGUUAAGCCAUUCCUAUUCUGGUCAGCUCGCACAUGCCCAUCUGAAGUCAAAUCCUCUUCAAUUUGGCAGUCAUUAUCAACUUGAUUGUCACCGUCUUUUACCCGUUCGACACUGACGGACCGGUUCCUGAUCCUGGCACUCACCUCUUAGGUCUUGUCUGGGCAUCUCAUGCUCCUUUCGGCCGCUGUGGCCAUUACGUUACCUAAACCGUGUCGUACAUCAGAACUCUCGUCAUGACAGUCAUUCUCCGACUUAUUUGCUCCACUGGACCUCAACAACCAAAAUUGAUGCUCCUUGGCACCGCCACGGUAGUGUUGAAGGACGUAUAUAUGCUGAGCGUAAGGCAAAUUGCAUGGACACGGAGAUCCGCUACCACGUCGUUUACCUCAUCUGUUGUUUCCUUGGACUGCUCAACUUCAUCUGCUCAGUGUGAGUGUUAGUAGUUGUGUGAGUAACAGUUAGUAGCUUAGUUAUGUUAAGUUGGUACAUGCAGGGAUAUUAUGCAGACAGACAUGGUAAACAGUGGGAGACAAUAUGGAGGGACAUGUGAUGGAGUAGGAAUCGAAUUUCGUACCUUUGGAAUCAACACUAGGUGUCUUAACCGUUAUACUAUGGUCGCACAUCCUGUAUGAACCAUCUCCGGGAGUUGAUCAUAUACUUAAAAGAGCGUAGUUGAGAUCGUUAUGGAAUCUUUACUUUGAAUAGGAAGUGAUAACAAUAGUUAACUGGUCAUAGAUUUUCAACUGUCAUUCAGGAGUCCCAUGUUCGCUUUUCUUUAAAAAAUUAUGACACGAGUUUUCCCAGUCUACCCUUUUUUUUUAAAGAUGCCGGACAUUUUUUGGUUUUUAACUGCGUCAUCACGAUUAUAAUGCUACUCAUAUUUUUGUUGCAAAACCCACAUGUGAACUGCUAAAACCAGAGCCAUCAAUUUUUUUGACCAACAAGUUUUUGAUGACUGCUAAAUCUAUCACCGCUUUUGAAAAAAAAGCCGCGUAAUUUGUUUUCUUUUUCAGAGGCACCUGGUAGAGAAAUGUUGUACUACUUCAUGGAAUCCCAUUUCUCAUGUCUGUUUAAUUCACGCGUGGAUUUCUUGGAUGGUGAAUUGAUCAUUCGGGUAAGCUGCGGGAAUAAUCUAGUCUUCAUCCCCACUUGAUUCAUUUCGUGCCAGUUAUUAGUGAAACUUGAAAGGCGUGACGAAUUCAAAUUGAGGUGUUGCGUGCUGUCUGCAAGCAAGCAAUCCAAUUGGCUGUCGCUAGGUGGCUAAAAUUAUGUCCACCAGGUAGCGCCAUGUUGUUUCUAACAGACGCAGACGAAAUGAGUGUUGAUUGUUGAAUGUUUAUCGUGACGUUUCCCAUGCUGAAAAUGAAACGGUGAAUUAGCAUGUAAACAGUUAAUGACCAAAUCAUCUCGUAGCUCAAGUGCCUGUACAUUUCGCCAAAUUGUCGUGCCUCGAGCGUCUUGCUGCCUGUAGAUUUCCAGAAUCUAUACUUCAGAGAAAUAAAAGUAAAUUUGUUGAUUAAUUUCCCUGCAAUAAUGCAAUAUAUUUUAUCAGUUUAUGUUCAGAUGGUUCUAUUGCAGCCACCUCGUGAAAAGGGAGUUCAAGUUGAGCUGCAGCUGCUGCAAGCAGUCUGUAGUGCUGGUGUCAUUCUGAAGUGUUCUCAAUGUGUCAGUCUAGGCUGAAGCUAAUUAAAGUGUACUGUUCAAGUCUUAUUAUAGACAUCAAGCACAUUGAUAACCAAUUAUAAACAAGGGUCUAAACUAAAUGUUUCUAAAUUCGCAUGCCAGAUUUAUGAGAAGUCAUGUCGUUUGAAGAAAAAGGGCAAUGUCUACACAGGUAACAAGGUCCCUUGUUUGAAAACCCGUUGGCUGGUACCUGUGAAUCUCCAUUUUUACUUCUUUAAACUGGCCCUCUUAAUUGAGGGUAACUCCUUCGCUACUGAUCAUCCACUGGACCCUACUUCAUUCAUUGGUGAAAACUGAUGAGAGAAUCCUGUAAUUCAAGACUGAUAAAUUGUGUAGUUGUUAGAUACAUUACAAGUGCAUAUCUGGGCUCCCUUCUUCAGUGGCCCCGUUUCCCUAAAUAACCACUAACCAACGCCCGCCGGUGGUCACUCACUCGCUGCGACAACCAGGAGGAAGGGAGAUGUUUGGUCGAACGGGGACUUGCAAGGCGCAUGAUUCGAUGAAAUCUGUUGGAGGGUCAUGAGUCUAAGCCGGAAGCCUACUAUGACACACUGCUCUCAUAAUAACU